CAGCCAGUGAAGUGGUGGCGACCAGUAGAGUGGCUGGUGGGAAUCCCUGGCUGGUGGCGUAACAUGGCACGAAGCAGCAGCAGGCGGGAGCGGCGACCAGCGGUGUGGAGUAGCGACCAGUGGCGUGGCGUGGAGCGGUGGCAGGCGAGGAGCGGCAACAGCAGACGAGGAGCAGCGGCAGGCAACCAGUGGAGCGUCUGGUGGUGCGGGAUGAGACAACUGGUGGAGCGUGGAGGAGUGUCGUAAGAGAACAUGGUUGCUGAGGAUAUUACUAGCAAAGAUUCUAUGGUUGUUUUAUGCUUCCUUGCUGUGAGCUCAUGAAUUUGGUAGCUGAUAUUGAGAAUGGAAUUUCAGGUCAAACCCAGGGAGAGGCCCAUAUCGAAGUAGUUAAGACCUGAUCUGUGGUAGACCCAGCUUCAAGUUCUAUUACUGAUUUAGACCAAGGACUGGAAUCUGGAUUUCUAACAUCCAGAUUUGAAUCACAUUAAAUCCUUUAGAGCCCAAGCAAGUCACAUGCUGCUCUUCCUCCUAAGUUCCACAGCUGCUCUCAGAGAUAUUGUCUGAUUUAUGUUGGCUUUAAACUACAGGAAAUGCUGUUUAUCUCUCCUCCAAUUUAUCCAGAAUUAGUCCACAGAAACCUACUUGGAUAGCAACCAGAAACAGCUAGUAAAUACCAAAUUCAAAACCACUGUUAGGAAUACUGUUUUAGAACUAAGUUAUUAAUGGUUGGCAACCAGUUAAAAUAAUUAUUUAAAAAAUUUAAAGGAAACAAACCAGAUACUUUUGCUGAUGUAAACCAAUAUAAUUCAAUCAAGACAUAAUAUUUACAUUAGCUGUUUCUCCCAUGGCGGUUUAAAUAACUCCAAGUCCUCAUGUCACACAACUGGAAAAUAUAUCCUUUUGUAAAAUGAAAGGACUAGUCUGCCUUUGUUUUCUUAAUGAUACACAGAUCAAUAAUCUGGGUGAUGCAUCAACUGAGUUCUUUAAAGGGUAUGCUUAUUAUAUAAUGCUAGUAGUGUGAAUAUAUUAAACAAGCCUAUAAAAUUCAUUUGACCUCUAACUUGGUUUAACAAGUAAAAUAAAGUACAGCAGUUUAAUGUAACCAUUUCAAUGUGGUCCACAACAUACCUUCUUUUAAUUUAUUGAUUUUAAAUAACCAUCUCAGUCACAAAAUAUUCAAGUGACAAGUCUAAAGAAUGGGAUUCAAUAUCCAUAGAAAAGAUAUAGUAGAUGUAGAAUCAAUAAAAAACUAGCCAUUAAUAUGCCUCAACCCUGACUUCAAAAGAACAUUUCCAAGGCGAAAUUAUUUGCCAUGACUGCUCACCCCUUAACCUCUCCUGUAAAAUGAUUAACUAAUGCCAGUUAUGACUAUUGAUGUAGACUGUUGAAAUGAGGUAUCUACUCUGGACAUAGACUGCCAACCUGAGUUAGAAGAUGAAUCAUUUGCAUAGAGAUAAAACUUUAUAUUUAGCAGUACCUGUCCUUUGUAAUGUAUAAUAUCAUACUACACAAAUUCAGAAGAACAAAUAUCUUGG